CCUACGGGUGGCAGCAGUGAGGAAUAUUGGUCAAUGGCCGUAAGGCUGAACCAGCCAAGUCGCGUGAAGGAAGAAGGAUCUAUGGUUUGUAAACUUCUGUUAUAGGGGAAUAAAGGUAUCAAUGUGUGGAUAUUUGCAUGUACCCUAUGAAUAAGCAUAGGCUAAAUCCGGGCCGGCACACGCGGCAAUACGGAGGAUGCGAGCGUUACCCGGAUUUAUGGGGGUUAAAGGGAGCGUAGGUUGUUUUUUAAGUCAGCGGUGAAAGUUUGUGGCUCAACCAUAAAAUUGCCGUUGAAACUGGAAGACUUGAGUGUGUUUGAGGUAGGCGGAAUGCGUGGUGUAGCGGUGAAAUGCAUAGAUAUCACGCAGAACUCCGAUUGCGAAGGCAGCUUACUAAGCCAUAACUGACACUGAAGCACGAAAGCGUGGGGAUCAAACAGGAUUAGAUACCCGAGUAGUC
rnacentral:rRNA from 1 species